rnacentral:lncRNA from 1 species
GGAAUAAGUCCAUAUUCCACCUAGCUACAGAGAGCAGUGUUAAGAUACCUUCAUGCUACUGGUGCAUGUGACUGAGCUUCUGUCUAAUCCAGGAUUUUGCCCUGGGUGGUAAAAUCACUCAUUUCUGUGCUUGUAUAAGGAACACAAAGACAUUUCAGAAUCCUGCCAACACAGCUCAGAAUAGAGUUGGGAAUUUCCUUUAGAUUACAAUUGAACGACCUGAAAAGAACUCCUUCCUGAAAUGGUGACUCAGCAAAUAGGUCAAGAUACAAAUUUAUGUAUGAAUAAUGAGACACAAAAUAAGUUCCACCCUGGAGUAGAUACAAACUUCAAUUGCCUCUUACUCCUAGAGACCUUCAUCAUUAUUAUUUCUCUGUUCAUAAAGGAAUAUCGUGAUAGUGGAGCAAGGAGGGAAGAAACUAAGCAAAAGACAGAACUUGAGAAAAGUAAUGGAGCACUUCUGGAAGAAAUUGUUUUCAGGAGCACUUCUGGAAGAAAUUGGUAAUUAUUUUCAGAUUCUUAUUCCUUUGGUGGUCCAUUUUAUUGCAAUGAUUGUUGCACUGCAU